UGGUAAGUAAGACCUGCCCGAAAAGAAUGAGGCCUAUGGAAGUAGGAUGGAAGCGAGUAGGGCAGGGUUUACCA
rnacentral:sRNA from 12 species